rnacentral:rRNA from 1 species
UGCAGUCGAGGGGUAUAGUUCUUCGGAAUUAGAGACCGGCGCACGGGUGCGUAACGCGUAUGCAAUCUACCUUUCACAGAGGGAUAGCCCAGAGAAAUUUGGAUUAAUACCUCAUAGUAUAAUGAGUUGGCAUCAACACAUUAUUAAAGUCACAACGGUGAAAGAUGAGCAUGCGUCCCAUUAGCUAGUUGGUAAGGUAACGGCUUACCAAGGCUACGAUGGGUAGGGGUCCUGAGAGGGAGAUCCCCCACACUGGUACUGAGACACGGACCAGACUCCUACGGGAGGCAGCAGUGAGGAAUAUUGGUCAAUGGGCGCAAGCCUGAACCAGCCAUGCCGCGUGCAGGAUGACGGUCCUAUGGAUUGUAAACUGCUUUUGCACAGGAAGGAACAACUCUACGUGUAGAGUCUUGACGGUACUGUGAGAAUAAGGAUCGGCUAACUCCGUGCCAGCAGCCGCGGUAAUACGGAGAAUCCAAGCGUUAUCCGGAAUCAUUGGGUUUAAAGGGUCCGUAGGCGGUUUAGUAAGUCAGUGGUGAAAGCCCAUCGCUCAACGGUGGAACGGCCAUUGAUACUGCUAGACUUGAAUUAUUAGGAAGUAACUAGAAUAUGUAGUGUAGCGGUGAAAUGCUUAGAGAUUACAUGGAAUACCAAUUGCGAAGGCAGGUUACUACUAAUGGAUUGACGCUGAUGGACGAAAGCGUGGGUAGCGAACAGGAUUAGAUACCCUGGUAGUCCACGCCGUAAGCGAUGGAUACUAGCUGUUGGGAGCAAUCUCAGUGGCUAAGCGAAAGUGAUAAGUAUCCCACCUGGGGAGUACGUUUCGCAGAAUGAAA